rnacentral:tRNA from 1 species
GAGAAGGAUCUAGAGAUACAGAAACUGCUAACUAUCUGCCCCUGCGGUUAAAAUCCACAGUCUUCCCA